GCGCUUUAUAGCUAUGUGCAUGGUCGAUAAAACACUGUUCAUGCAAAGCUCUUUGCAAAACAUGACAUCUUGUAUACCUGAAUAACCAGUAUACAACUCAGUUACCGGAGAUAUAUUCAUGCUGCAUUUCUCCUACUAAACUAUUGGAAUUAAAGUGAAAUAAAAGAACUUUCUGUGGUGAAGGAUUGAGUUGAUUUUCACUGAAAGCCAAUAAUUUAGCCGGAUUGAGAUGUGUUAUUAGUUUGGAAAACAUAGUAAGAAAUUGUCAUUGAGCGUUGGUGCCGACACAAAAUAGACUAGCAAAUAGGGAAAAAUAGAUCUUCUUAAAAAAAGAAUAGUGCGUUUGAUUAGUGUAUAAAUUUGCUCCUGGCAAAGGAGAAGAAAAAGGUUGAUGGAUAGGAAUGCGUAAUCGCCUUAAAUGUUAACAAAGCUGCUCCAAGAUUGAUGGCAGAUAUGUAUAUACAAACAGGAACGCUUGUGGUUUUGAUAUCAUUAUUUGGCAUGACCUCUGCACGUGAGUGCAUUGCCUGUCAAUGGAAUGCAAAGAACAGUUCGUUAGAAGACAACUGUUUGGGAGCUCCUUUCAAAACAAAAACAGCCGUGUGUCAGGAGGCUGGUGGUGGUCAACGUAUUGGUUGUCAGACAUUGGCUGUGUUUAAUAAGAAGACGAGAAGCCUUGAAAGCCUAGAACGUAAGUGUGGCAGCAAACAUUCCAAAUGCAACAAUGCAUGCACAGAUGACGUAACAAAUUGCUGGUUAUGCUGUGAUGAUUACGACAAAUGCAAUGGCUUUCCUUUGCGCAGCAACAUCGUUGUCACAUCUACGUCUUCAGCAAACAUACUGGAAUUCAUCUUAAGUUCAUUUGUUCUGACCACUAUGUCGGUCUUUCUAUCUCUUGUAUAACCACUCAGGCAACCAAGAUUAUCAUGAUAGAUGUUUUUGUUAAUAAAUGUGAAUACAUUGUUGUGUUGAUAUUUUGCACAUUUUGAAAUAUCGUUGAAAAAGCACGCACUAAAUUGUUUUACUAUUGUUUUAAAGAUAAACUUGCAUUUCAGUGACAUGUUUUUGAAUUAAAUGUAAGAGCAGGCAAACUGAUGCUUUAAAAUCAUAUUUGGGGUAAUUUGUGACGCAUCAUGUAGUUCAUUUUUUACCACCUGCCUUCUUGAUUUGAAACAAAAGGUGAAAAUACUUACGCAAAUAUAGAGGAGAAAAUGCACAUAAAUUUUCAACAUAAAAUUUCGAAAGAAGAUUUUAUGGAAUAACCUUUUAAAUGUGAAAACCAGUUUUUGUAAUUCAUUGGUGAAAGUAGCCCGUAUUUUAUCGUCAACUGUAGAAAAUAUUUGGUUAUUCAUGAAUUUUAGUAUACAUCGAUAAAACUAAGGAUAAAUAAGAAUUAUAAACCUUUCGUGUUUUGAUCUUGAAAAUAAAUUUUUCAUUUGUGAACAUGGGACAUUGACAAUAAUGGAACAUGUAAAAACAAAGAAAGUACACAAAUGUAGAUGUAUAUAUACAAAGAUGUGUAAAUAUGUAUAUUUAAUGUAUUGUCUAUCACAAAUGGGGGCAGUUUCAGGAACAGCUUUGACGUAUUCUAAGAAAUGCAUACUUAAGGUAAUGCAAGGUCAACAGAAAUACCGUUGCUAAUUUUAGAAAUCAAGUCGAGCUUACAUUGUUGUUUGCUAUUUAUUCAAAGUAAAUCGUUGUCUUUAUCUUCUAAGUAUAUUCCUAUUAAUAAUAGUUGAAUAUAUUUUGAUGCAAAACAUGCUUUGUUUAGCUUGUGUAUUUCCAAAUUUCAUUUGUUUGUAAUUACAUGUUAAGAGAUCGCUUAAGAUAUAACAUUCUGUCGAGUGAAAAGGGCAAUUAAAUAUAUCAUGUACAUGUAAUGAUACGUUAAUUUAAUUGGAUGUAUUGAUAUUUUUGGUAAAUGCUUUCAAGAACCGACAUAUUUUAAUGAACAUAACAUAAUGGGAAGAAAUUGUGAUUUACUAUAAUCCAAUAAUUGAAUAUAUCUAUAAUUAUCUAGCUAUUUUACCGGCUUUCUCAAGCGGUUAUUGUAAAUUAAGAUGAACUUUACACUGAGAAAAAGUCAAACUGUGUAUAAUAGCUUUAAAUUAACGAACUCGUGGUGCGCAUUGGCAUAUACUGCAAUUAUUUACGUACUUUCGCCUAACCUUUAGGUAUUGCGCCAAUAUUGCUUUGCUUCAAACCAAAUUGAUAUUUUGCCCAUAAAUAGAGAACGUAGUUAUAAAACCAGCAAAAACACAUUGUAGGUCGCAAAAUGCCACUACUGAUGGAUUGCCUUAUCAAAACCUGCUGUAACCUUGUUGGCAUCUAUGUAAUUUGUAAUUAUUCAAGGUAAAAGAGAGUACCGAUUUACGCUUUUAAGACCUUUUGAAAACAUUUUAAAAUUGUCUAACAUAUAACUACAAACCUAGAAUAAUAUCUUUCCUGUUAAUUAAUGUAUUGUUCUUUUCAAUGAUUAUAGUGAAUGGUCCAAUACAGUUGGUAUGUUAUACUAAAAAGUCAAAGUCAAAUAUUUUAUUGGCAACAUACCUUAAAUAAUAUUUUGAUAAUAUUUAUUAUCAUAAUAAACCUCGAAAUAAUUAUAUUUGAUUUUUGUUGGUUAGUGAGAUACAUGAUACGAUAUGAAAUUUCUUUACAUAGCAAAUAAUAAAUUGUUCUGGGGAAAAAUAUUAUCAUGCAUCAUAUAAAUUUCCAAUUUUCCAUACAAAACCAGUAAGAACUCUUUUUUUUUCAAGAAAUACCGGUAUAUUCAUUAGAAUAUUUAAAUAAUACAUUUCUACAUUUUUUAGAUUGAUCAAUAUUUGAAUUAUUUAUGGAAUAUGUGCCCAUUGUAGACCAGUUCACUUUAAUAAAGUCAUGUUUUCAAUACAAAUGUAUAUGUUUUGCUGUCACUAAUAUUUAAAUAGCUUUAAAAAAAAGAAAAAAAAGAGUAAGUCUACCUCUACACCUUAUGAUCAAAUUGAGACAAAUGCGUAAUGACUAAUUUACAUCUGGUUGAAUUUUGUUUAAUAUAUUAGUUAGAUAUUACUGUUAUUUGUUGUAAAAAAGCUAUUGUUUAUACAUUUAUUGUUAUAUUUUAUUAUGUAUAUCCUUGUUGUUAGCUUGUAUAUUUAAUAAAAUAUUUAUCUUGUCGAAA